UCUGGUAACGAUAGCGAAGAGGUCACACCUGUUCCCAUGCCGAACACAGUAGUUAAGCUCUUCAGCGCCGAUGGUAGUUGGGUCUAAGCCCUGCAAGAGUAGGACGUCGCUAGGC
rnacentral:rRNA from 1 species